CGGGCCGUAGCGUAGUCUGGUAGCGCGCUUGCAUGGGGUGCAAGAGGUCGAGAGUUCGAAUCUCUCCGGCCCGACCA
rnacentral:tRNA from 1 species